GAUGAAGAACGCAGCGAAAUGCGAUAAGUAAUGCGAAUUGCAGAAUUCCAGUGAGUCAUCGAAUCUUUGAACGCACAUUGCGCCCUUUGGUAUUCCGAAGGGCAUGCCUGUUCGAGCGUCAUUAUCACCCCUCAAGCCCUCGGCUUGGUGUUGGACGGUUUGGUGGAGGCCCCCUCGGGGGCUCCUGCCCCUCCCAAAGACAAUGACGGCGGCCUCGUUGGACCCCCGGUACACUGAGUUCUUCACGGGACACGUAUCGGACACAUGGGUUUUCGGGACACGGUCUGCCUCCCCUCAGGGAGAAUCUUUCUAAGGUUGACCUCGGAUCAGGUAGGGAUACCCGCUGAACUUAAGCAUAUCAAUAAGCGGAGGA
rnacentral:misc_RNA from 1 species